rnacentral:rRNA from 1 species
UACGUAGGGGGCGAGCGUUGUCCGGAUUCAUUGGGCGUAAAGCGCGCGUAGGCGGCCCCGCAAGUCGGCCGUGAAAUCUCCGGGCUCAACUCGGAGGGGUCGGGCGAGACUGCGAGGCUCGAGGUGGGCAGAGGGCAGUGGAAUUCCGGGUGUAGUGGUGGAAUGCGCAGAUAUCAGGAGGAACACCGAUGGCGAAGGCAGCUCGCUGGGACGGUACUGACGCUGAGGCGCGAAAGCGUGGGGAGCAAACAGG